GUAUUGAUUCGCGCGUGAUCGCGCAAAGAACAUUCUACACUAGGGUGUUUGAUGUUUAAAAACGUGAGCACCCCCCUCCGAGGAAGGGGGGACGCACGCGGUGAUGCACAAAGGGGUGAGAUGGAUUGUGUGAGAGCGCGCUCGGGCGUGCACGACCUUUGAGGGUCAGCGACAGCCCUUGCACCUCCGUUGUACGAUAAUGAUCCUUCCGCAGGUUCACCUACGGAAA
rnacentral:misc_RNA from 1 species